rfam:Laccaria amethystina LaAM-08-1 unplaced genomic scaffold K443scaffold_78, whole genome shotgun sequence.
CAACUGUAGUAUGUUAUGCUGUACCACUCUUAGCUGAUUAUCGAGGUCUUCUUGUCGUGCACGGCGGACUUCCUCCCGUGCUCCUGUGACACUCAAAGGAGAUGGUAACAGAGGAGAGGCACUACGGUUGAUGAGUACAAUUUAAUCCCUUAACGAGGAACAAUUGGAGGGCAAGUCUGGUGCCAGCAGCCGCGGUAAUUCCAGCUCCAAUAGCGUAUAUUAAAGUUGUUGCAGUUAAAAAGCUCGUAGUUGAACUUCAGAUCUGGCUGGGCGGUCCGCUUAACGGCGUGUACUGUCUGGCUGAGUCUUACCUCAUCAGGAAACCUACACAUGGCUGGAUCGCCUGAUUGAUCUGAAAUUGAUCUGGG